rnacentral:rRNA from 1 species
UACGGGGGGGGCAAGCGUUGUUCGGAAUUACUGGGCGUAAAGGGCUCGUAGGUGGCCAACUAAGUCAUACGUGAAAUCCCUCGGCUUAACCGGGGAACUGCGUCUGAUACUGGAUGGCUUGAGGUUGGGAGAGGGAUGCGGAAUUCCAGGUGUAGCGGUGAAAUGCAUAGAUAUUGUCAAGAACACCAAUUGCGAAGGCAGCUUACUAAAGUAUAACUGACGCUGAGGCACGAAAGUGCGGGGAUCAAA